rnacentral:rRNA from 1 species
AGUGAACGCUGGCGGUAGGCCUAACACAUGCAAGUCGAACGGCAGCACAGUAAGAGCUUGCUCUUACGGGUGGCGAGUGGCGGACGGGUGAGGAAUACAUCGGAAUCUACUUUGUCGUGGGGGAUCACGUAGGGAAACUUACGCUAAUACCGCAUACGACCUACGGGUGAAAGCAGGGGAUCUUCGGACCUUGCGCGAGUGAAUGAGCCGAUGUCGGAUUAGCUAGUUGGCGGGGUAAAGGCCCACCAAGGCGACGAUCCGUAGCUGGUUCGAGGGGAUGACUCGCCACCCUGGAACCUGGAAAAGGGCCCGGACUCCAACGGGAGGCAGCGGUGGGAAUAUUGGACAAUGGGCGCAAGCCUGAUCCAGCCAUGCCGCGUGGGUGAAGAAGGCCUUCGGGUUGUAAAGCCCUUUUGUUGGGAAAGAAAAGCAGCAGGUUAAUACCCCGCUGUUUUGACGGUACCCAAAGAAUAAGCACCGGCUAACUUCGUG